rnacentral:misc_RNA from 1 species
UACAGAAGCCUCAAGCGUUACCCGGAUUUACUGGGCGUAAAGGGUGUGUAGGUGGUUAUAUUAGUCGGAUGUUAAAUCCUGAGGCUCAACCUCAGGGCCGCAUUCGAAACGGUAUAACUCGAGGAAGUGAGGGGUGUGUGGAACUCACGGUGUAGGGGUGAAAUCCGUUGAUAUCGUGGGGAACACCAAAAGCGAAGGCAGCACACUGGCACUUUCCUGACACUGAGACACGAAAGCGUGGGUAGCGAAUGGG